ensembl:snRNA Gm24207 U6 spliceosomal RNA
GUGCUCGCUUCAGCAGCACAUACACUAAAAUUGCAACGAUACUGGUGAAGAUUAGCACGGCCCCUGCGCAAGGAUGACAUGCAAAUCCGUCAAGUGCUCUCUACUUUU